rnacentral:misc_RNA from 1 species
GAUGAAGAACGUAGCGAAAUGCGAUAAGUAAUGUGAAUUGCAGAAUUCAGUGAAUCAUCGAAUCUUUGAACGCACAUUGCGCCCGCUGGUAUUCCGGCGGGCAUGCCUGUUCGAGCGUCAUUUCAACCCUCAAGCUCUCCGGAGUUUUGUGUUGGGGCGCCUGGGGCUUUUCGACCUCAGGGCCCUCAAGUCCAUCGGCGGGACCGCCAGGACACUGAGCGCAGUAGUAUUAUUUCGCUCGGUAGGAUCUUCCACGGCGGGUCGAUCUGGCCGCUAAACCCCCCAAUUCUCACCAAAGGUUGACCUCGGAUCAGGUAGGAAUACCCGCUGAACUUAAGCAUAUCAAUAAGCGGAGGA